UGGGUGUUAAAAAUAGCACAACUAGUCUUAUGCCACUCAACGUCGUUGGGAGUGCCAAAGGACUCAUUCAACACCUUGAGCAUGUCUUCUCACUGAGCUUCCUUGAAUUUAUGGCUGAACUUGUCAUUCAUGGCCACCCAUAUAAUACAAUGCACCAUGGUGUGAUUGUUCAACCACUUCAAGUAAGUGUCUCAAACUACACCGCAUGCAUUAGGAGCAGGCUCCUCAGAUGCCAGAUCUAUCAGCAC
rnacentral:lncRNA from 1 species